UACGAAGGUGGCUAGCGUUGCUCGGAAUCACUGGGCGGAAAGGGUGCGUAGGCGGGUUUUUAAGUCAGGGGUGAAAUCCUGGAGCUCAACUCCAGAACUGCCUUUGAUACUGAAGAUCUUGAGUCCGGGAGAGGUGAGUGGAACUGCGAGUGUAGAGGUGAAAUUCGUAGAUAUUCGCAAGAACACCAGUGGCGAAGGCGGCUCACUGGCCCGGUACUGACGCUGAGGCACGAAAGCGUGGGGAGCAAACAGG
rnacentral:rRNA from 1 species